rnacentral:sRNA from 1 species
UCUAUUUAUCCACAGAACAGGAACAGCAUAAGCAUCAACAGUGCAAACUUCCUCACACUGUUCCCAGCCUUGGCCCAAAGGGACUACUUCUAGGCAGGGCCGGCUUUAGGAAGUGCGAGG